rnacentral:snRNA from 1 species
GUGCUCAAUUCAACAGUACAUUUACUAAAAUUAGAACAAUACAUAGAAUAUUAGCAUGGCCCCAGCACAAGGACAACGUGUACAUUUGUGAAGCAUUUCAUAAAAAA